CCCUAGUACCAGAGCCAAUAGGUCGCCAAGAUCAGAGAAUUUAGAAGACGAAUCGGUUAAAAAAACUCAGAGCAAUGGGUCACCAAAAUCAGAAGUUAGCAGGUUGAAGAUUAGUCUGCUGCGAAGGAGACUUGAAACCACUGAAAUUGCUGCCACACUUUGAUAUUGAAGUGAAAGGAUGAUGAUUUCUGCUAAAGAGAGUAAUGAUGCAGCUCAAGCUCCGUCAAUGCCAAAAAACAUAUGCAAGGAUCCUGAUGACGGACGCCAAAGGAUUUUGCUUGAAUUGGAGUUCGUUCAGUGUCUAGCUAAUCCAACCUAUAUUCAUUAUUUGGCUCAGAAUCGUUAUUUUGAAGAUGAAGCCUUCAUUGGUUACUUGAAAUACCUUCAAUACUGGCAGCAGCCCGAGUACAUAAAAUUUAUAAUGUACCCUCAUUGCCUUUUCUUUCUUGAACUUCUCCAAAAUGCAAAUUUCCAUAAUGCGAUGGCACAUCCAGGAAGCAAGGAAUUGGCACAUAGGCAGCAAUUCUUUUUCUGGAAAAACUACAGGAAUAAUCGGUUGAAACAUAUCUUACCUCGGCCUCUUCCUGAACCCACUGCAGCACCUCCAGCAUCAGUUCCACCUCCAGCGCCCGUCCCAGCUACAACUGUUGCUCCUGCUUCUGCUCCUGCAUCAGCCCUUUCUCCUAUGCAAUAAGCAUUGCCACCUGCCUCUGCUCUCCAAAAAAAUGAUAUGAGGAAUACUGGGGUUGACCGGAGAAUGAGAAAGAAAGAAGGUUGAAUUGGGUUCUUGACAUGCCUCUGUAUGGCAAAUGGUGCUUGUUACAAUCUAAAUUGAGGCUUCCUAUCGACGGGAAAUCGAAGUUAAAGGGGGUUUCUAAUGCUGUACACAUGCAGAGAGCAUGUUCAUAACAAAACCUGUGAAUCUCUUGAGAAUUGUAUUGGUUUACAUUGUCUGUAUGCAAGACCUUCUUGGCUUUCCAAUCCAGUUGUCUGUGAUUUGUGUUUUAGUUGACCAAAAAUUAUGGCUGUGCUUGUAUCAUCUGUUUUAUGAAGGCUAAUGUAUUACCUGAAAACUGGUUGUGGAAUUGCUUUAUUUGGGGUUAUGUGAAAGAACGUAUAUGUAAUACCAGUUAGCAUAAAAUAAAAUCAGCUUUUGA